rnacentral:tRNA from 1 species
GUCCCCAUCGUCUAGAGGUUAGGACUCCGCCCUUUCAAGGCGGCAACGCGGGUUCGAUUCCCGCUGGGGACGCCA